rnacentral:rRNA from 1 species
GUUCGGAUUGUAGGCUGCAACUCGCCUACAUGAAGUCGGAAUUGCUAGUAAUCGCGGAUCAGCAUGCCGCGGUGAAUACGUUCCCGGGCCUUGUACACACCGCCCGUCACACCAUGGGAGUCGGUAACACCCGAAGCCUGUAGUCUAACCGCAAGGGGGACGCAGUCGAAGGUGGGAUUGAUGACUGGGGUGAAGUCGUAACAAGGUACC